CACGUAGGGUUCGAGCGUUGUCCGGAAUUAUUGGGCGUAAAGAGCUCGUAGGCGGUGUGUCGCGUCGGCCGUGAAAACCUGCAGCUUAACUGUGGGCUUGCGGUCGAUACGGGCAUCACUGGAGUUCGGCAGGGGAGACUGGAAUUCCUGGUGUAGCGGUGAAAUGCGCAGAUAUCAGGAGGAACACCGGUGGCGAAGGCGGGUCUCUGGGCCGAUACUGACGCUGAGGAGCGAAAGCGUGGGGAGCGAACAGG
rnacentral:rRNA from 1 species